rnacentral:rRNA from 1 species
UACGUAGGUGGCAAGCGUUGUCCGGAUUCAUUGGGCGUAAAGCGCGCGCAGGCGGCCGCGAGAGCCCGGCGUGAAAGCCCCCGGCUCAACCGGGGGAGGCCGUCGGGGACCUCGGGGCUGGAGGCCGGUAGGGGCGAGCGGAAUUCCCGGUGUAGUGGUGGAAUGCGUAGAGAUCGGGAGGAACACCGGUGGCGGAGGCGGCUCGCUGGGCCGGUCCUGACGCUCGGGCGCGAAAGCGUGGGGAGCGAUCCGG